rnacentral:rRNA from 1 species
UACGGAAGGCAGCAGUGGGGAAUAUUGCACAAUGGGCGCAAGCCUGAUGCAGCCAUGCCGCGUGUAUGAAGAAGGCCUUCGGGUUGUAAAGUACUUUCUAGUCGUGAGGAAGGUGUUAAGGUUAAUAACCUUAGCAAUUGACGUUAGCGACAGAAGAAGCACCGGCUAACUCCGUGCCAGCAGCCGCGGUAAUACGGAGGGUGCGAGCGUUAAUCGGAAUUACUGGGCGUAAAGGGCACGCAGGCGGUUAAUUAAGUUGGAUGUGAAAUCCCCGGGCUUAACCUGGGAAUGGCAUUCAAGACUGGUUAGCUAGAGUCUUGUAGAGGGGGUAGAAUUCCAUGUGUAGCGGUGAAAUAGCGUAGAGAUGUGGAGGAAUACCGGUGGCGAAGGCGGGCCCCUCGGAGAAACAACGUCACGGCUCAUGUGCGAAAGACGUGGGGAGGGCAAACAAGGAGUUAUAGACCCUU